rnacentral:rRNA from 1 species
UGCCAGCAGCCGCGGUAAGACGGAGGGUGCUAGCGUUGUUCGGAAUCACUGGGCGUAAAGGGCGCGUAGGCGGCCUCGCAAGUCGGGCGUGAAAGCCCGGGGCUCAACCCCGGAACGGCGCCCGAGACUGCGAAGCUUGAGGCCGGAAGAGGAGGGUGGAAUACCCAGUGUAGAGGUGAAAUUCGUAGAUAUUGGGUGGAACACCGGUGGCGAAAGCGGCUCUCUGGUCCGGUCCUGACGCUGAGGCGCGAAAGCGUGGGGAGCAAACAGGAUUAGAUA